UCAUUUAGAGGAAGUAAAAGUCGUAACAAGGUCUCCGUUGGUGAACCAGCGGAGGGAUCAUUACAGAGUUCUAAAAAGACUCCCAAACCAUUGUGAACGUUACCCGUAACAUGUUGCCUCGGCGGGCGUCCCCUCCCUGGGGGCGCGUGGCUUUCGGGCUGCCCGCCGGAGCGCCAAAAACUAUUUUGUAUUUUAGUGGCCUCUCUGAGAAAACAAGCAAAUAAGUUAAAACUUUCAACAACGGAUCUCUUGGUUCUGGCAUCGAUGAAGAACGCAGCGAAAUGCGAUAAGUAAUGUGAAUUGCAGAAUUCAGUGAAUCAUCGAAUCUUUGAACGCACAUUGCGCCCGCCAGUAUUCUGGCGGGCAUGCCUGUUCGAGCGUCAUUUCAACCCUCAAGCCCAGCUUGGUGUUGGGGUCCUACGGCUGCCGUAGGCCCUGAAAGAAAGUGGCGGGCUCGCUAUCAACUCCGAGCGUAGUAGUAACAUAUCUCGCUAGGGAGUCGUCGCGGGUUCCGGCCGUGAAAGCCCCAUCUUUUACACAAGGUUGACCUCGGAUCAGGUAGGAAUACCCGCUGAACUUAAGCAUAUCAAUAAGCGGAGGAA
rnacentral:rRNA from 1 species